rnacentral:rRNA from 1 species
CCUACGGGUGGCAGCAGUGGGGAAUAUUGGGCAAUGGGCGCAAGCCUGACCCAGCAACGCCGCGUGAAGGAAGACGGCUUUCGGGUUGUAAACUUCUUUUCUCAGGGGCGAAAAAAGUGACGGUACCUGCGGAAUAAGCCACGGCUAACUACGUGCCAGCAGCCGCGGUAAUACGUAGGUGGCAAGCGUUAUCCGGAUUUAUUGGGUGUAAAGGGCGUGUAGGCGGGAGCGCAAGUCAGAUGUGAAAACUCAGGGCUCAACCCUGAGCCUGCAUUUGAAACUGUGUUUCUUGAGUGCUGGAGAGGCAAUCGGAAUUCCGUGUGUAGCGGUGAAAUGCGUAGAGAUACGGAGGAACACCAGUGGCGAAGGCGGAUUGCUGGACAGUAACUGACGCUGAGGCGCGAAAGCGUGGGGAGCAAACAGGAUUAGAUACCCCGGUAGUC